GGCGACAUAGCCAAGUGGUAAGGCAGAGGUCUGCAACACCUUAACCCCCAGUUCAAAUCUGGGUGUCGCCUCCA
rnacentral:tRNA from 1 species